rnacentral:rRNA from 1 species
UCUUGGUCAUUUAGAGGAAGUAAAAGUCGUAACAAGGUUUCCGUAGGUGAACCUGCGGAAGGAUCAUUAAAGAAAUUUAAUAAUUUUGAAAAUGGAUUUUUUUGUUUUGGCAAGAGCAUGAGAGCUUUUACUGGGCAAGAAGACAAGAGAUGGAGAGUCCAGCCGGGCCUGCGCUUAAGUGCGCGGUCUUGCUAGGCUUGUAAGUUUCUUUCUUGCUAUUCCAAACGGUGAGAGAUUUCUGUGCUUUUGUUAUAGGACAAUUAAAACCGUUUCAAUACAACACACUGUGGAGUUUUCAUAUCUUUGCAACUUUUUCUUUGGGCAUUCGAGCAAUCGGGGCCCAGAGGUAACAAACACAAACAAUUUUAUCUAUUCAUUAAAUUUUUGUCAAAAACAAGAAUUUUCGUAACUGGAAAUUUUAAAAUAUUAAAAACUUUCAACAACGGAUCUCUUGGUUCUCGCAUCGAUGAAGAACGCAGCGAAAUGCGAUACGUAAUGUGAAUUGCAGAAUUCCGUGAAUCAUCGAAUCUUUGAACGCACAUUGCGCCCCUUGGUAUUCCAGGGGGCAUGCCUGUUUGAGCGUCAUUUCCUUCUCAAACAUUCUGUUUGGUAGUGAGUGAUACUCUUUGGAGUUAACUUGAAAUUGCUGGCCUUUUCAUUGGAUGUUUUUUUUCCAAAGAGAGGUUUCUCUGCGUGCUUGAGGUAUAAUGCAAGUACGGUCGUUUUAGGUUUUACCAACUGCGGCUAACCUUUUUUUAUACUGAGCGUAUUGGAACGUUAUCGAUAAGAAGAGAGCGUCUAGGCGAACAAUGUUCUUAAAGUUUGACCUCAAAUCAGGUAGGAGUACCCGCUGAACUUAAGCAUAUCAAUAAGCGGAG